UGGGGGAUGAAGGCCAGCUGGGCGUUAUUAUAGAUCGCUAUGAACAGCAGUGGCAUGGGCCUCAUGGAAAGCUCAGACACCUGGGUCUGGGAUGGGAGGUCAGCGUGGUAGCAGACAGGAGGAAAUGUAUUUUUUUUUUUUCUUUUAGAGAAUUUGGGGUAGAGGAAAUAGGAGUGGUGUUCUCUGUCAAUCUUUAAAGUUAGAACCAGUAGUUCCUGCAUUAUUUAUUGAUGUUAGUGUUUCACGUAUCUCUUCUAAAUGCUGGAGGAAAACAUUGCAUUCAAGUUCUCUACAAAGCAUCUCUGUUGAGAACCACUUGAUGAAGCAGGAGAAUGACAGCAAACGUUGCAGCAAUAGAGAAGUCCUUGCAGCCCUGUUCUCAACUGCACAAAUGAACCGUUCCUGAUGUGAGCUUCCAAGAGCAGGAAGGCAAAGACAAAAGAAGCUGCGAAUCUAGGAAUGUAACUGUUGAAGUGUAGGGAGUGAUGUGUACCCAGAUACAGACUUAAAGGCAAGCGGUGGAACAUCAGCAAAUGAUCAUGCAAUUUGUUUGAAUUUAACUGAAAAAUCACUGAGUGCUCACAAAGGCAUUGAAAGGGCUUCACUUCUGUGUAAGGUCAAUAUAAACUCCACCUCAUCUACUUUAGGCAGAAGAUAAGUUCUGUAUCACUCCAUUUAUUCUUCCUGAGACAUAUCAGUUUCCCAAAAGAUGAUAAAAAGAAAUUAUUUUGAAGAAGUCAAGAUGAAACCUGUUGACUUGUAGUUAGUGUCUAACUGACUAAUUCUUCUCUGAACACUGGAACUGGCAAGCAAGGAAUUUCAGAAGAUAUUAUGACUUUGCCAUCUGCAUGUAUGGUGUUCUAUGCUAAUAUAUUAAGUCC
rnacentral:lncRNA from 1 species